GCUUGUCUCAAAGAUUAAGCCAUGCAUGUCUCAGCAUAAGCUUCAACACGGUGAAACUGCAAAUGGCUCAUUAAAGCAGUUACAAUUUAUUUGAUGGUCACUGUUACAUGGAUAACUGUGGUAAUUCUAGAGCUAAUACAUGCGUAAAUACCCAACUGCUUGUCGGACGGGUAGCAUUUAUUAGAUUGAAACCAAUGCAGCUUCGGCUGGUAUUGUGUUGAGUCAUAAUAACUGUGCGGAUCGCUUUUUAAGCGAUAAAUCGAUUGAGUUUCUGCCCUAUCAGCUUUGGAUGGUAGGAUAUGGGCCUACCAUGGCGUUAACGGGUAACGGGGAAUUAGGGUUUGAUUCCGGAGAGGGAGCCUUAGAAACGGCUACCACAUCCAAGGAAGGCAGCAGG
rnacentral:rRNA from 1 species